ACUUGUUCUGUGAAUGUAGCCUGGGGCUCUCUUGCUGGGGUGGGGGGGGGCUCCUGUCUUCCUGAGCCUUUCUGAGUGUCUGUGUCUGGGGUCUCUUGCCUCGUGAGGUUGAGAGAUUUGUGUCCUGGCUCUGCUGGCUGCCUUCUUCCUCUAACUGGGCUCAUUGCUGACAAUUCCAACACUACGAACCCCAGAGGGCAAAAACAUUCCAGCCAUCCAGAAAGCAGCUGUGAAAACCCAAACCAAAAGCCUCAGAUCCAGAUAUGUGUGCCACCGGCCAGGUGUUCCAGCCCUUGCCCUCCGGUCAAGGUGAAGCACCUCCGUGCUUUGCUCAGAGCCUGUGAACCUCCGUUUGCGAACAGUUCUAGCUUUCUUGCUGUACGUGUGCUCAGGCCACGGCAGUUUGUGGUGCUGCUAGAUGUGGGCCAGCGGGGAGCUGCAGAGGAAAGGGCAGUCACAAGCCUUCAAGGACAUGGUAGAAGCAGACAUCUGGGCAUUUCAUGGUGAGGCAAAUGGUUUUGAAUACUUGGAUGGGCAUGCUUCCUCUGCCAAUUACUCCCCCAAUUUGCCUGGGGACCAGGACGGAGGGAGGGUUUUCACUGCUUUAGAUAACUGCAAAAGUGGAGAGAUUGUGGGUGAUUUGUGGGCGUGGGUGGGCAUUUUUGCAGUAUUUUCCAAAACUUUUUAGCGGAAGAAGUUUCCCUCUCCAGGGGAUGGCACAGGACGGGCGGGUGCCUCCUCCCUCACUGUCUCCCCCCGAUGUGCAGGCUUCUUUCUCCCCCAGGUGUUUGCAGGUGCUGGUUCCUCAGCCCGGGAUGUCCUCUUCCUGGACCCAGGGAGUCGCUAGCUAGCUCUGCCCAGACCUGCCCUCCUGGGGAGAACUGCCCUGACCCCCAGCCUCUGUAUCUUCCUCCCGGCGCUGAGCCCUCUCUGCCAGCUUCCUCGCUGGCACCUGACCUCCCCACUACUAAAUACACACGGAUUUCCGAGGCUGGCGCUCUGGACCUUGGAUGGCACCUGGCCAGUGGCAGGUGGCUGCACGGACGGUCAGACCCCCCACGUGGCUGCCAGGCCUGGAGAAAGCAGGUCUUGGGUUCCUCCCCCAGGGGCGGGCACCGUUAGAACCCGUUACAUCCUGGGUUUACAUCUGACCUUCGAUGCUUGGGGGCCUUCGGGUGAGUUUCACAGUGUGUUCGUGCCUCAGUUUCCCUAUCUGUAUGAUGGGGACAAGGCCCGUGCCUGUCACAUAGUGUCACGAGGAUUCAAUGAAUUAAGAGGUGAAAACGUUUAGCCCAGGCCCUCGCACGUGGUCCCCUCCCCUUUGUGCUUUGAUUACUGGUUCUCAGAGGAUUUGACCAGCGCCACUACAGCCACCACUGUCGCCACGACUACGAGCGCUGCCGCGGGUGCCAUGGUUACCACGGUCACGGCUGCUCCUACAUCCAUCACCCCUUCUGCAGCCGCAUGGUUGCUAUGCUGUCACGACGAGUCCUGGUGCUCCGGUUACUACUAGGCUGCCUUACUAUCACCAGUACGACUGCUUCAGUGGCCUCUGCCACUGUGAGUACGAGUGUUGCCAUGGCUACCGCGACUCCCAGAGCAGCUCCUGUUCCUACUGCUUCUGUUACUGUUACUGUCUCUGCAAAUCCUGCUUCUAUUACAGCUAUUCUUCCUACUCCUAUUAUUCCUACUCCGGAAGCCACACGAUGCCAGGUUUAUUGCCAUUACAUUCACGGCAGCUGCUAUUAUUACUGCUGCUGUUACUGCUGCCAGUACUCCUAGAGCAGCCGGUAUUCCUAUUAGGCCACACGACGCCUGCUGCUGUGACGAUCCUACUAACCCAAUGAUUCCUCCUGGGGUUCCCAGUAGGACCACUGCGACUAGUACUGCUGCGAUGAUCCCUCUGGUGCUACUGGCCUGACUGCUGGUUAGUACUGGGACUCGCUGGUGAGGCUUGCAAUGCCCUCUAGCUUCCCUUGGGGCGCUGCCCACCCCAGGAUCUUUGCCCCGGGUCUCUCUUCCACACUGGCCUCUAGGAUGCUUUGCCCACUGUCCUGGGGGUGGGCGUGGCCUCCUUCAGGGACAGCACUGGGGGCUCUGCCCACCACACCCGGUGCUUGCAACGCAGGACCAUCUCACCUUGAACCUGAGUUCAGCCGAUAGAAGGGACAGUCUCACAUGGUGUCAUCUCAGACGUGCCACACCCAGGAACCCCCCUUUUCCUAGAGACCCACUGUGGCCUUGAUCAGGCACCCAAGCUAACUGCCAACUCAUCCAUCAUAAAAACACCCAGUGUUGAGUUUCUGUUCAGUGAUAUUUCAGAGUUAUUCGAACCAAGAGUCCAAGGUUUAAAACCUCUCUCUUCCUCUUAAUAUCCAGUAUUUGGACACCGUUUUACAGAUACAAUAUUUCUUUAAAGAAUUCUUUUAAAGAAAAAGCAUGCCUUUAAUGGCCAAACACAGCCAGGAUCCUGCUUCCAGGCAAGACCCAGACUUGGGUCUAAGCUCCGCCUGCCCUGAGCAGUCAGCAAGCCGGCAGGCGCUGGGGCUGGACGGGCCUGGCUGUGUGUGCUCAGCUAAGUCUCUUCCCCUUUCUGAGCAUCUGUUUCUUCUUCCACGAAAUGGGGUGAAAACAGCAGGUUCCUCCAGGGGUUCAUAUGCGGCUUCAGGGCUAAGGCAGCUCCCUGCUCAGCGGAGCGCCGGACACGGUGUCCUGACUGUGGACGUGAAGCCCCCAGACAAGAAGGACCCCACCCUCAUGGGCCUCUCGGUGUCUGGCGCGGAGCAGAGGCAGGGCCCUUGGAGGGAACGAACCCAGAAGAUGUCACAGGGCUGGUAGGCGGGGAGGCGGGUCCAGCGUGGCUCCUCUCUGCGGGCUCCCUGCCACCCCUGCCCCAGGCCCUCUCCUCCCGCCAGGACGGCCCUGCUCUCACGCCUCGUCCUCACUCCUCAGGGUUAAGCAUCACCACGUGCGCCUCCUUCGCAUCUAAAUCGACAAAGCGCUGCCUCUAGAGCAACUACAGGCGGCUCCUCUCCCUUAUUUUUAGCCAGUUCUUGAUGAGAGAAUUUCAGGCCGGCAGAUGGCGAGGGCUGCUUAAUGCAAACCAUGCCAGCGGAAGACCACCAGCCUGGUCACGCGGGAUGGUUGGUCCUCACCCCUCCCCUCUGCCCCCAUCAGGUGAGGCUGCCGCGGGGCUUCGCAGGGACGCUCAGACUGCACCUGCCAUGCGUGCUGGUCACUGAUUCACAAAGGGCUCAGGGCCAAACUCAAGACAAGGGGCUCGGGCAAGGGCCACAGUCACCGCGAACUGAACUCAUAAAGGCGCCUCGUUUCUUUUCCUCUAUCAGCUCACUCCUGGGGCUCCUCUUCCUCCUCAGACCUCAAUACAGAGGUGCUCUUCCAGGCCAGCCCUUGCUCCUGGCUUCCCUCCCUCCUUCCCUGAGCUCCCUGGUCCAGAGCCAAGGCCAGCCAGCCUGUGCGGCGCUCUCCCGUGUUCUGGGAAGGGCAUCCCUCUGGGCAAAUGCAACCUGCAGGCCUAGGGCUGGGCAAGCUGACUGCCAUGCCUUUUGUGCAAAGGAAAAGGAGCCCCUUGCUUCAGACAGGGCAGCACACAGCUUGUAUGUUUAGCUCCACUUGAAAGCCAGGUGCUUUGGGCAGUGCACCAACCGUACCACUGUACGCGGCAGCCCUGCUUCGGAUCCCCAAUCCAGUGGCCUUGAAUAUUCAGUGGUGUGAUCUCUUGCUAGCCAUGCAGUUAUGUUCCUGAUAAACAGCCAGGCCGCUAAACUGCAGCUGGAAAGACAAAGUCACAAUGAGAACCGAAUGGCGUGGAGUGAACGUCGCUCAAGCCACGUGUGUGUUAAGAAGCCGCCCCUGUAAGUACGUGCGCCUCCUCCUUCUCAUGUCUCUAAGCGACUCUGGGAAGGUUGCUUCCCUGAGUUUCCUGUUGUGCAAACCCACACCUUAAAAAAUACUCUUUCCAUCCACUUUCCAAAGUGGCUUGAGGUUUAAUUUCCAGGUGAUGCUAUGUCCAGUGUCCCAUUUACACGGGUCUGGCUUCCUUGCGUGGCCUUAUCCCAAAGUACCGGAGGCUUAACCGACCUCUUUCUCGAGCCCCAUUUGUUUGCUACCCGUCUCUAGACUGGUGGCGUGUAAACCAAUGAUCAACAAUAGUGUGGGGGUUUUUUUUUGGCUUUCAAGGGCCACACCCACGGCCUAGGGAGGUUCCCAGGAUAGGAAUCAAAUCAGAACCACAGCUGCUGGCCUACACCACAGCCACAGCAACGCGGGAUCCGAGCCAUGUCUGCCACCUACACCACAGCUCAUGGCAACGCAAGAUCCCUGACCCACUGAGCAAGGCCAGGGAUCCAACCUGCAUCCUGAUGGAUACUAGUCGGAUUCGUUUCUGUUGUGCCAUGCUGGGAACUCCAAUGACAGUGGUUUUUAAAAAAACUGAAGCACGUCAUAACAAAUGGGGCAUCUCAAAGCUGCAGCUGCAGAAGGUGCCUCUAGGUGAAUUUUCCAGCUCCCCCCUUGACGUGUGCAUGUUCUCCGGGCUCAAAAGCUCCCUCUCCUGUUUCCCUCCCUCUGCCGUCUGCAGGACCCUUCCUGCUUCACCAUGGCCCCCGGCCCACGCCUUUCCCUUCCUGCCUCUCAGCUCAGCUCCUGCCCCCUUCUCUCUGCCUUCUUUUCCUGCGACACGUGGGGCCGUCGGGUUCAGACUGGAGGCUCCUGAGUUGGAAGCUGGCCCGCCGGCCAUGGGCCUCCCUGGUGAUUUCGGGCGAAUGGCUUAACUGUGAGUUGGCAUCCAUGCCUUACCCGCAAAAUGGGAAGUGUGAUGGCCCCUGCUUCAAAGAACGGCCUCAGGAGCAAAGGGGGGCAUGAAGGCCAAGUGGUGAUAAAAGUGCCCAGCACGUAGUAAACGCUCAAUUAAAUUAAACGGUAAUGACUGUGUUUAUGGCCCUUCUUGUUUUUUUACGACAGGCAACAUCCAGUUUAGGGUCCUUGGCGCACAGUGACAUUGUCCUUUGAUUGGUCUCGAAGGGAAAAUACCUACAAACAUAAGGAGCACGUGCAAGGAAUGUGUGUGUCUCUUGCCAAAAAUUUCAACAAUGGAGAAAUGCAGAAAAGUGAAAAAAUCGUGGCGUCCUGCCUCCUCGUUUUUCCAACCAGAGGAAAGUGAUGCCAGUGGUUGGCUCGGCAUCCCUCCUGGGCAGGUGCAUGUGUGAAUGUGUGUGUGGGGGCGGGUGUUGUGAGUGUGUGUGCUUUUUACAGCAGAACUGUGCUGAAUGCAUCGCCUGUGUGGUGCGGUGUCUAGACCUGGCGUAGGGAGCAUUUUUAUGGUUUUGUCGCAGCCGUGUGGACCCGAAGGCGACCUGGUGGUCCAACCCUGUGCCUGGGAUUCCUGCCCGCAGGACAUCCGAACCGGGGCUUGGUUUCUUGGUUGUCCCGCGUGGGGAUGGCUUUUCUGUUACGGAGCGAGUGGGAAGGUAGCGUGUGCAUGAGUUUCCCUGCACGGUCGCCGCAGCGGGAAGGUUCUCGGCCAAGGAGGGGGCUUCUGCUGCUUUGGGCAAAGUCCCCAGGGGGAGGACUCUGGGCUGGACCCAGAGGAAUUGUGUCUUGGUCUCAGCUUUCCCUUUAGGGCCGUUUGCUGGAGCGAUUCUGGCGGAGACUAAUUCUGAGAAAAAAAGAGCUUCUGAAUCAGUAUAGAAACAGUUAUUUUGCAAAAGGGCAAAGUUGGAAAAAAAAUUGUCUUAAAGAGCAUUACAGUUAUAGAAAUGUGUCGCCUAAAAUACUUUGUAACGGUUUGUGGGAAUGUUCUGAGCCGCAUUAUGAAAGGAGAGUUUUCGAGGGCAAUCUAAAAACCAACGCCGAGCCCUAAGCACUUGCCCGACCCGCCCUGGCGAUGUCACAACACACGGCUCACAGGGCCACCCAGCUGCUGGACCCAAGGGACCCGGCUGCAGCCCUCCAGCCUCCUGUUAGGAGGGACGAAGAGAGGAUUUGUUCUGGGAGCAGCUGACACCCCUGCCUGCCCGCCCUGGCCCCAGCAUAUGCGCUGAAAAGCUGGACGCUUAAAGGAAAGUUUUGCACUUUGAUU
rnacentral:lncRNA from 1 species